ACUUGCUUUCCGGAAAUUGGCUCUGCUUAGCUGUAGAUUAAAUGGGAAUCGUGUGAAAAUCACGAACUGUCGCGCAACUGUAAGUGAUAAAAAAUCUUGAUCAAUAUAUCCACUGUGUUUAUCAUGGGAAGGAGAUCAAAGAUGUCAUAAGUCAGGAGACCUGCCUUUUUUUAAAACAAAAAA
rnacentral:ncRNA from 1 species